UACGUAGGGAGCGAGCGUUGUUCGGAUUUACUGGGCGUAAAGAGUGCGUAGGCGGUUAUAUAAGUCAAAAGUGAAAUCCCUAUUCCCAAGAUAGGAAUAGCUUUUGAUACUGUAUGACUAGAGAGCAGGAAAGGGAAACGGAACUCUGAGAGUAGCGGUGGAAUGCGUAGAUAUUCAGAGGAACGCCAGUGGCGAAGGCGGUUUUCUGGUCUGCUUCUGACGCUGAGGCACGAAAGCUAGGGGAGCGAUCGGGAUUAGAUACCCUCGUA
rnacentral:rRNA from 1 species